rnacentral:rRNA from 1 species
UACGUAGGGGGCAAGCGUUGUCCGGAAUCAUUGGGCGUAAAGCGCGCGUAGGCGGCCCGGUAAGUCCGCUGUGAAAGUCCAGGGCUCAACCCUGGAACGCCGGUGGAUACUGCCGGGCUAGAGUCCGGAAGAGGCGAGUGGAAUUCCUGGUGUAGCGGUGGAAUGCGCAGAUAUCAGGAAGAACACCCGUGGCGAAGGCGGUUCUCUGGGACGGUACUGACGCUGAGACGCGAAAGCGUGGGGAGCGAACAGG